UGGGGUGGGGACUGGAGAUGGCUACAGAGAAGGAAGGGUGAGCAGAUGGAGGCUGUUGAGUCCAGGCAGAUGGAGACAUCAAAGUCAUGACCAUCAGACUUGGGAGAAAAGGUCCCGCUGGUGCAGGGGGAUGACAGUGAGCAACUGGAUGCAGUGCAGAAGGAAGGUGUGAGAAGGAUGAGAGCUGUGUGAGGUUUCCUGUCAGGAGCAGGAGUGCAGUGCCAACACUGUGGUCCCUGCUGAGGACUGAGGUGGAGGAGCGAGGCUGGAAGAGAUGGCUGAUACAUAGAUGUGAUGGUUACAUGCAGACUUGGUGCAAUCAGUCUGAUGCAGAGGACCAAGUGUGUUGCAGUGGUGGAUGUGGAGGACAGGUCAAGUGAGGGUGCAGGCUCAGAGGUCCACAGACUACACCAGAGCAUCACAGAGGGCAUCAGUGGUUGGGAGGAUAACUUUGCUUCUCAGGGCAGUGAAAGGUAGAGCAGGAGAAGGGGUUAGCUGGACCCAGGACUGUUGUGAGGAGGCAAGGGAUUUGUAAUAGGUGGGAGAGGAUGAGAGAAGAGCUGGGCCACUGAGUUAACAAACUAGCAUAAGCAGUGGAAGGAGCCAGCAGCUGAGAGAGCAGAGGGUACACAGGGCCUCAGGGGAAGGCACCAUUCCGGGAAGGUACACUCAGGAUUUAGAGGGGAAAGAGAAGAUGAAGCUUUCACUUCAGUUGUGCUAAUUGGAGGUGGCAGUACCUUGAAAAUAAUCGGGAGCACUAUGUCACUGAAAAUCACGGCAACAGCGCUUCCAAACCAGAGAACCACUGUUCCACAAUGGUAGCCCUGAGAAGCUAGUCUGGUUAUAGGGGAAUUCAGAAAGCAUCUGGACUCACAAGAGCUUGCCCCAGGCUCAGAGGGUGGCAAAGGUGGGAGCAGUGAGUACAAAUCAGGACGUGAUCAGAUAGGGCUAGAAAGACUCCCGAAUCCAUGCACCAACUGGAAGGUUCCAAGAAAAGUGUUGAGGAAGAAUCAGCAUGUCUCUGAAAAAAUUCACAUGAGAAAAAUAUAUGGAAUGGUCUUACAAGGAUUAAUCCUGCAUCCAAAGUAGACACUGAAGAAGGUGGCAAUAGGCGGGUAAUAAACAUUUUGAAUCCAACUAGUCACACAACUGAUGGGAAAUGAAAGGGUUAGAGGUGGACAGAACCAAUUGAAAUUGUGGCUCACCCUUGAUAAUGGAGCCAGUGCAGGAAAGCAAAAGGCAGAAUUCAGGGUUUCCAAGGUGGGAGGUGUCAUCGGAUCUCCAGGUUAAGCAAUGAAUGAUACAAAGACUUUGAAGGCCUAAGCAGAGUUGUCUUUAUAAGAGAGACAAGUCAGGUAACAAAGCCUUCAUGCAUUAUAGAAACAACUUCACUGAUUUUAAAAGACAGAAGAACAAAAAUCACAGGAAAGUAGUGAUACCAUCACAUGGUUGAAUAUAAAAUCAGAAAAUAUGAAUUAGGUUUAAGGUUUAGUGGCAGGAAGAUCACAAGUUCAAGGCCAGCCUGAGAUACAAAGGGAGACCCUGUCUUAGAAAGAAAGAGAAAAAAAAAAAAGAAAAAGGAAAAAAAGAAAAAAAAAAGAAAAAAGAAAAAAAAAAAGAAAAAGACUUAAAAAAAAGGACUUUAAAAAGGGGGUAGGGAACGAUGGUAAUUGAGAAAAGAAUUGAACAUAGGUUGAAUUAUAUUGAACAUGGCCUGCAACAAAAUCCACAUGUCCCAAAUGGAAAAGAAAUACUGCUAACGGAACUGGGUUAUGUGACUAGUGUUCAUUUUACAUCAUCUGGGAUUUACUUAGGACACUUUGAAUGGUCAGAUGGGUAGGAGUAUUGCUUACUGAAGAUAUAUACUGAAUAAAGGAAAAUAGGAAUUGUAUAUAUUAAGAACUUAUCAACAGAGAAUCUAAAUGCCUAAAAUCUUCAUCAGCUAUCACCUGUGAAUGGGUUGAGUAAGGAGAACAAAUGGUCACAUAGACAUGUGUUUGUGAACAGCUUGAUCAACAAUCGCCAGUAUUUGAUAGCCAAUGAUGUUUACAGGUUGAGCAAAGAAAGGUAUAAUUAACAGAAUAAUAUUCUGGAGAAUACUAGAAGGCAUGUAUCUUUUGAAUUGCAGAAGAAUUGAUUUUAAAACUGAUAUAAGAAAAAAAAUUUAAGCAAUUUCAGAAUUAAACAAAAUAUUAUCUAUUAUUUACUGUGUCUGGUGCCAGAUCAGAUAUACACAAAGAAAAUUAUUUGUCCAAUUCACAGAAUCAGCAUGUGGUAAGGCCAGAACUCAAAUUAUUACACCUAUCUAUUAAACCCAUAUUUCUCUUUAAUAUGCUAUAUUAUUUUCAAAUUGAAGGAAAUCAUAACCAAGAACUUCUAUUUUUUUUCCCUUGUGACCAUAAGGAAAAAUAUUUUUCUGAGAUAAGAUUGAUAUUAGAAAGUGAAAGAAUUUGAAGUACUGGUUAAUUUUUAGAGUAUCUGCAAUGGAAAAUGUUGAAAAAAAGAAGGAUGGGAGGAUAGGUAAGGACUCCAUUACCAUCUAUGUCCUGGUAUUUUACUUCAUUCUUUGCAAAGUAGAGUUGAGAUUGGCUAUGGAUUAAAAUUUCAUGAAUUUUAAUAAAAACUAAAGAAUAGAAAGGAGUAAUCAUGCAUAUGGUAAUCAAACACCAAAAUGUUGAAACAAGAUUAGACUUUAUAACCACAUUCUGCUACUGAUCAGGAAACACUCUGAAUCUAACGUAAGGAAAAUUCUCUCUAAUUGCCAAAUUUUUAUAAACAAAACCCAAAUAGUCCAUAGCCAGCAGACCAAACAUUGAGACCUUUGGGCUAAUAAUGUGUAAGAUCUGUUUUAAAAAGAAGUUCCCUCCUCAGUAAAGAGGGCUGAGGCAGUGUCUAUUACUCCUCUCUUGGGAAAGUGUGUACUCUUACUGUUGUUUUCCUAUUGUCUAUGUAACUACUGUGAUUUUAAUACUGUUGGUUUGUGUAUUUGGUAUUGUAAAACUGUACUUAUUCUUUGAAUCCCAUUCCCUGUGGACUGGGUUCCUGAGUUAUCCCAUAUUAGAGGGCAUCUGAAGAGCUUGAGUAGCUAGUAUUCUCAACUGCAAGGGGCUGGAAUCUACUACGGGUUCAGAUUUCACUUCCCUUUGUAAUUAAGUGGUAAAGUAAUGACAACCCUUAAAAAUAAAACAGCCCAUAGGUAUCGCGAGAAGUGUAGUGAUUGUAGAGGAAUUCUGAAGCAAGGAAAAAUGGCUGUUGGAAAAAUAAUAUAAAAUGCAGUCUCCUGGGAUGAUGGCAAAAGACACUGAGCUACAUUAAGGCCGGAUCCAGAUAUAAAUGUGUAACAAUGGCAAAUAAAACUAGCUUUACUUGAGAACAGAAAGCUUAAUUAUUCUUAGCUGACAUACUUCAGAUACACACACACACACACACACACACACACACACACACCUAGAGAGGAAAACAGACCAGGAGAGAAAAGUGAAGCUCUAAGGAAAUGGAAUGUGUAAAAAAUCUCACAAGGGAAUAAAGGAAGCAAUGGAAUUUAAAGACAGAUGGCCUAAAGCUCAAAAGAGAAAUGUCACAGUCCAGAUAGGAAAGUGUCUUCCCACCAGGGGGACUCAGCAAUGGUGCCAACAUGAAUCUACCUCGUGCCAGAGUCUGAGUAGUCUAGUCUAGCGCCCAACACAGUUAAGACUGGUCAGGGGUUCCCAUGAAUGAACAUUGAAGAAGGGAGUUAGGAGGGGGGCUAUCAAACAAAUGGAACUAAGCCCCAAAUGUAACUGAAUGAUGACUGGGGAUAACUAUUUACUAGUACUUUAUGAUUUCUUGUAACUCUGUAACUUCCCUUAUGUUUGUUAAUAUUGUUAAUUUCUGUAUUUCCUGUACUUAAUUAGUAGUAAAAACUGUUUAACUAUAA